rnacentral:rRNA from 1 species
UACGAAGGGGGCUAGCGUUGUUCGGAUUUACUGGGCGUAAAGCGCACGUAGGCGGAUCGUUAAGUCGGGGGUGAAAUCCUGGAGCUCAACUCCAGAACUGCCUUCGAUACUGGCGCUCUUGAGUCCGGAAGAGGUGAGUGGAACUCCUAGUGUAGAGGUGGAAUUCGUAGAUAUUCGCAAGAACACCAGUGGCGAAGGCGGCUCACUGGCCCGGUACUGACGCUGAGGUGCGAAAGCGUGGGGAGCAAACAGG